rnacentral:ncRNA from 1 species
UACAAGUCUGUGAAUAGAAGUAGUAGCUAUUAAGAAAUUGGUUAAAGCGAGUCGGGUUAGUGUGAGCCGGUACCGUAGCUUGUAGUGAAUGGAUCUAUGAGACGAUGCUGUGAAAGAGGUAUUCAGUAGUAGCAUUCGGAAAGUCUACCGUUAAAAGGACAGGAUAUCGAAAUUGUAAUUUCCGUAUCUGUAAAAGAUGAUCUAUUUAUUUACUUAGAUUAAAAUGGGUGGCACCACGGACCACUUCGUCCCAUAC